rnacentral:rRNA from 1 species
GAUGAACGCUGGCGGCGUGCCUAAUACAUGCAAGUCGAGCGAACGGACGAGAAGCUUGCUUCUCUGAUGUUAGCGGCGGACGGGUGAGUAACACGUGGAUAACCUACCUAUAAGACUGGGAUAACUUCGGGAAACCGUAGCUAAUACCGGAUAAUAUUUUGAACCGCAUGGUUCAAAAGUGAAAGACGGUCUUGCUGUCACUUAUAGAUGGAUCCGCGCUGCAUUAGCUAGUUGGUAAGGUAACGGCUUACCAAGGCAACGAUGCAUAGCCGACCUAAGAGGGUGAUCGGCCACACUGGAACUGAGACACGGUCCAGACUCCUACGGGAGGCAGCAGUAGGGAAUCUUCCGCAAUGGGCGAAAGCCUGACGGAGCAACGCCGCGUGAGUGAUGAAGGUCUUCGGAUCGUAAAACUCUGUUAUUAGGGAAGAACAUAUGUGUAAGUAACUGUGCGCAUCUUGACGGUACCUAAUCAGAAAGCCACGGCUAACUACGUG